AGUGAACGCUGGCGGUAGGCCUAACACAUGCAAGUCGAACGGCAGCACAGUAAGAGCUUGCUCUUACGGGUGGCGAGUGGCGGAUGGGUGAGGAAUACAUCGGAAUCUACUUUUUCGUGGGGGAUAACGUAGGGAAACUUACGCUAAUACCGCAUACGACCUACGGGUGAAAGCAGGGGAUCUUCGGACCUUGCGCGAUUGAAUGAGCCGAUGUCGGAUUAGCUAGUUGGCGGGGUAAAGGCCCACCAAGGCGACGAUCCGUAGCUGGGCUGAGAGGAUGAUCAGCCACACUGGAACUGAGACACGGUCCAGACUCCUACGGGAGGCAGCAGUGGGGAAUAUUGGACAAGGGGCGCAAGCCUGACCCAGCCAUACCGCGUGGGUGAAGAAGGCCUUCGGGUUGUAAAGCCCUUUUGUUGGGAAAGAAAAGCAGCAGGUUAAUACCCCGCUGUUCUGACGGUACCCAAAGAAUAAGCACCGGCUAACUUCGUG
rnacentral:rRNA from 1 species